UACUUGACCAAAUCACUCCAAUUUUUUAAAGAAGAAAACCUAAAUUAACUUUUUCCUAAAUCAAUUGCAAAAGCAAAUCCAAAUUGGACUGCCAAGAAGCAUUGUAGUGUACUCAAAUGGCGGCGGUAGAGUUCUGAAGCUCAUAGUACUUCAGUUUCAUCCUCUUCCAAAAUUCUGUACGAGCUUUAAGACAAGGGUUAUCAGUUUGCCAUUAUUGCUUUCUCUCUUUCAAUCCCGAACACUGCAAAGCCAAAUUUGUGAAUCAACAAAGAUUCUGAGGGUAUUGUUUCUGUUUGUUUCAUUGAAUAAAUUAGGGCAGCAAUAAGUUAAAUGGGGAGCAACCAUAACAAUGAUAACUUGGAGCACAAAUUGCAAGCCGGGAAAUUGUUCCGUCAUGUUAAUUCUCUCAUAGUCGCUCAUCUUCGCGAUAAUAAUCUCAAUCAGGCUGCAAGUGCUGUAGCUUCAGCUACAAUGACACCAAUGAGUGUUGAAGCUCCUCCCAACAAGCUACUGGAAUUGGUUGCAAAGGGUCUUGCAGUUGACAAAGAUGAAACACUGAGAGGAGUUUCUACAGCUGUACCUUUUGAUCCAAUCGUAACUGCUGGAUAUGGCUCAAUCCCAGCCCCUCGGGCUGCAUCUGUUGAUUUCAGUAGCAUGAACGAUACAAAAGGGCCGUCAAAAAAUAUCCCAAAGCAUGAGUCACGACAUAUUUCUGAGCACAAGAAUGUUGCAAGGUGUGCCAGAUUUAGCCCUGAUGGAAGAUUUCUUGCUACUGGAAGUGCAGACACAUCAAUUAAAUUGUUUGAGAUUGCAAAAGUUAAGCAAAUGAUGCAGCCAGAAGCAAGGGAUGGCCCAGUGAGGCCUGUUAUACGGACUUUUUAUGAUCAUCAACAACCUAUAAAUGACUUGGAUUUUCAUCCACAAAAUACAGUACUCAUAUCUGGAUCAAAAGAUCGCACCAUCAAGUUCUUUGAUUUUUCCAAAACAGUAGCAAAGAGAGCAUUUAGAGUGAUUCAGGAUACACAUAAUGUAAGGUCGGUGUCAUUUCAUCCUUCCGGGGACUAUCUUCUGGCAGGAACUGAUCAUUCAAUUCCCCACCUAUAUGACAUUAACACUUUCAAAUGCUACCUGCCACCAAAUUUCCAAGAUAUGGGUGUCAAUGGUGCUAUUAAUCAGGUUAGGUAUUCAUCUACCGGUGGAAUGUAUGUAACUGCAUCCAAAGAUGGUGCAAUUCGGUUAUGGGAUGGGGUAACAGCUAGCUGUGUGCGAUCUAUAGAUGGUGCACAUGGAGCGGCAGAGGCUACAAGUGCAAAUUUCACAAAGGAUCAAAGGUAUAUCCUCUCUUCAGCAAAAGACUCUUCGGUGAAGCUUUGGGAAGUUGGCACAGGAAGAUUGGUCAAACAAUAUCUUGGAGCUACACAUACACAGUUGCGCUGCCAGGCUGUUUUCAAUGAUACAGAAGAAUUUGUAUUAUCAAUUGAUGAAUCUCUAAAUGAGAUUGUUGCAUGGGAUUCUCUGACAACAGAAAUAGUGGCUAGAUGGCCCUCCAACCAUAUUGGUGCACCCCGUUGGCUUGAGUAUUCCCCAGUAGAAGCUGCAUUUGUGUCUUGUGGGAUUGACCGAUCCAUUCGGCACUGGACUUAGUGCCACUAUUGAGCCAGCAGCAUUAGUAAAGCCAGAGAUAUGCCAAUGUAAUUUAAUAAGCUUGCUGUAACCUUGGGCUAAGUAAAUGGAAAUGAUUUAUGCAUCCUCUCUGCCUCGAUUCUUUCCCUUGUUGGUGAACGAAGAAGAGGCAAUGAGCUACAAGGCAGAUUUCAAGUUGGUUCAAUGGUCAGGCAUGAUGGUUAAUCUCCUAGCUGACCUUUGCUGAUCAACCAAACUGCUUUUAAGGGAAGAUUGAAUAUUGCUCGAUGGACAUGUAUUCAGUUGUUUUUUUAUCUGUCCGGCAGGAUUUCUUUCCAAGUUUUUGUAAUUGAUUGAAACUAUUACACAAUGUGGACAUAAGCUUGAUGAUCCUUUUGAGAUUCUUUGUAGCAACCUUGUACCCUCUAAUAGGAUAUCCACAUCUCUUUGCCAUGGAUAGCUGCACUGUACCAAAAAGAAAAUUUUCUUCUCACAGUAGAUAUUUCUUCCAUUUCGAGUUAUGUUA